NUUACAACGGAGAGUUUGAUCCUGGCUCAGGAUGAACGCUAGCGGCAGGCCUAAUACAUGCAAGUCGAACGAAGUAGCANNACUUAGUGGCGCACGGGUGCGUAACGCGUAUGCAACCUACCUUAUAUUGGGAAAUAGCCCAGGGAAACUUGGAUUAAUGUCCCAUAGCACUGCGAGAUGGCAUCAUUUUGCAGUUAAAGCUCUGGCGAUAUAAGAUGGGCAUGCGUCUGAUUAGUUUGUUGGUGAGGUAACGGCUCACNAAGACUACGAUCAGUAGGGGGUCUGAGAGGAUGAUCCCCCACACUGGCACUGAGAUACGGGCCAGACUCCUACGGGAGGCAGCAGUAGGGAAUAUUGGUCAAUGGGCGAAAGCCUNAACCAGCCAUGCCGCGUGUCAGAUGAAGGUCCUCUGGAUUGUAAAUGACUUUUCUACGGGAAGAAUGAGCGUCUGCGGACGGAAGUUGACGGUACCGUAGGAAUAAGCACCGGCUAACUACGUGCCAGCAGCCNCGGNNAUACGUAGGGUGCNAGCGUUGUCCGGAUUUACUGGGUUUAAAGGGUACGUAGGCGGUUGUGCCAAGUCUGGGGUGAAAGUUUGCAGCUCAACUGUAAAAUUGCCUUGGAUACUGGUCGGCUAGAGUAGUGGAGCGGUNNCUNNNAUUUAUAGUGUAGCGGUGAAAUGCUUAGAUACUAUGAGGAACACCAAUUGCGAAGGCAGGUCACUGGUCACUAACUGACGCUGAGGUACGAAAGUGUGGGGAUCAAACAGGAUUAGAUACCCUNGUAGUCCACACUGUAAACGAUGGUUACUCGGUNCGUGCCGCUUCGGUGGUGCGUGCCUGAGCGAAAGCGUUAAGUAACCCACCUGGGGAGUACGCCCGCAAGGGUGAAACUCAAAGGAAUUGACGGGGGUCNGCACAAGCGGUGGAGCAUGUGGUUUAAUUCGAUGAUACGCGAGGAACCUUACCUGGGAUAGAAUGUGAGAGACCGCUGCCGAAAGGUGGCUUCCCGCAAGGGCUCAAAACAAGGUGCUGCAUGGCUGUCGUCAGUUCGUGCCGUGAGGUGUUGGGUUAAGUCCCGCAACGAACGCAACCCCUAUUGUUAGUUGCCAGCGAGUAAUGUCGGGGACUCUAACAAGACUGCCUACGCAAGUAGUGAGGAAGGAGGGGACGACGUCAAGUCAUCAUGGCCCUUACACCCAGGGCUACACACGUGCUACAAUGGAUGAUACAAAGGGUUGCUAGACAGCGAUGUUCGGCUAAUCCCAAAAAGUCAUUCUCAGUUCGGAUUGAAGUCUGCAACUCGACUUCAUGAAGUUGGAAUCGCUAGUAAUCGCGCAUCAGCAACGGCGCGGUNAAUACGUUCCCNGACNUUGUACACACCGCNCNUCAAGNCAUGGAAGUUGGGUGCGCCUGAAGACAGUGGCCGUCAUAGGAGCUGUUUAGGGCNAAACCAGUAANUGGGGC
rnacentral:rRNA from 1 species